rnacentral:rRNA from 1 species
GACGAACGCUGGCGGCGUGCUUAACACAUGCAAGUCGUACGGAAAGGCCCUGCUUUUGUGGGGUGCUCGAGUGGCGAACGGGUGAGUAACACGUGAGUAACCUGCCCUUGACUUUGGGAUAACUUCAGGAAACUGGGGCUAAUACCGGAUAGGAGCUCCUGCUGCAUGGUGGGGGUUGGAAAGUUUCGGCGGUUGGGGAUGGACUCGCGGCUUAUCAGCUUGUUGGUGGGGUAGUGGCUUACCAAGGCUUUGACGGGUAGCCGGCCUGAGAGGGUGACCGGCCACAUUGGGACUGAGAUACGGCCCAGACUCCUACGGGAGGCAGCAGUGGGGAAUAUUGCACAAUGGGCGGAAGCCUGAUGCAGCAACGCCGCGUGCGUGAUGACGGCCUUCGGGCUGUAAACCGCUUUCGCCUGUGACGAAGCGUGAGUGACGGUAAUGGGUAAAGAAGCACCGGCUAACUACGUG